rnacentral:rRNA from 1 species
GGCGGGACACGUGGUAUCCUGUCUGAAUAUGGGGGGACCAUCCUCCAAGGCUAAAUACUCCUGACUGACCGAUAGUGAACCAGUACCGUGAGGGAAAGGCGAAAAGAACCCCGGCGAGGGGAGUGAAAAAGAACCUGAAACCGUGUACGUACAAGCAGUGGGAGCACGCUUAGGCGUGUGACUGCGUACCUUUUGUAUAAUGGGUCAGCGACUUAUAUUCUGUAGCAAGGUUAACCGAAUAGGGGAGCCGAAGGGAAACCGAGUCUUAACUGGGCGUUAAGUUGCAGGGUAUAGACCCGAAACCCGGUGAUCUAGCCAUGGGCAGGUUGAAGGUUGGGUAACACUAACUGGAGGACCGAACCGACUAAUCUUGAAAAAUUAGCGGAUGACUUGUGGCUGGGGGUGAAAGGCCAAUCAAACCGGGAGAUAGCUGGUUCUCCCCGAAAGCUAUUUAGGUAGCGCCUCGUGAAUUCAUCUCCGGGGGUAGAGCACUGUUUCGGCAAGGGGGUCAUCCCGACUUACCAACCCGAUGCAAACUGCGAAUACCGGAGAAUGUUAUCACGGGAGACACACGGCGGGUGCUAACGUCCGUCGUGAAGAGGGAAACAACCCAGACCGCCAGCUAAGGUCCCAAAGUCAUGGUUAAGUGGGAAACGAUGUGGGAAGGCCCAGACAGCCAGGAUGUUGGCUUAGAAGCAGCCAUCAUUUAAAGAAAGCGUAAUAGCUCACUGGUCGAGUCGGCCUGCGCGGAAGAUGUAACGGGGCUAAACCAUGCACCGAAGCUGCGGCAGCGACGCUUAUGCGUUGUUGGGUAGGGGAGCGUUCUGUAAGCCUGCGAAGGUGUGCUGUGAGGCAUGCUGGAGGUAUCAGAAGUGCGAAUGCUGACAUAAGUAACGAUAAAGCGGGUGAAAAGCCCGCUCGCCGGAAGACCAAGGGUUCCUGUCCAAC